rnacentral:sRNA from 1 species
CAGCGACAAUAUUUUGUGAAAACACGUC